UAUAAGGCAUCUGUGUCAAAUCUUACAUCUAAAGGGGAAGUACCUAGCGUGGCCUACCACAAUUCUGUAUCAGAUUCAAGUGUAUCCAUCAGAUUUCAAAUCCGUUUUCUAGAUCAACAAAAUAUUAUUAUACUUGGUUUCAGAAAUUGAAGUGGAAAGUAGCGUCUUACUGAUAUCACAAAAGAGAGAUUUGAACAAGAAUUGAAUAUUUUACUACCAGAGAAGCAAUGAUAAUUAGAUUAGAAGAACUUAAUAAGUCUUGUUUAUGUAAUUAGCAUGAAGUUGAAAAAGCUAAUUAUACAGAAUUCUUUAGCCACUUCCAAUUAAAUUUAUUCCUCUUUUAUUGGUAUGCAUUCAAUCAAUGCACAAACUCUAGCUAUAAAUUAAGGAAUGACCAUUGAGUAAUACAUGAGAUUCUUUGAAAAAAGAUAAGGAAUGGUGAAAAUGUAUAGAGAUUUUAUUGUGUAUAUAUUAUUUAUUAUGUGUAUAUGAUUUGCAUAUGUACUAA
rnacentral:lncRNA from 1 species